GAUGAACGCUAGCUACAGGCUUAACACAUGCAAGUCGAGGGGUAACAAGAGGAAAGCUUGCUUUCCUUGUUGACGACCGGCGCACGGGUGAGUAACGCGUAUCCAACCUGCCUAUAACUAGGGAAUAACCUUGCGAAAGUAAGACUAAUGCCCUAUGACUUCCUUUGGCGGCAUCAAAAAGGGAAUAAAGAUUUAUCGGUUAUAGAUGGGGAUGCGUCUGAUUAGCUUGUUGGCGGGGUAACGGCCCACCAAGGCAACGAUCAGUAGGGGUUCUGAGAGGAAGGUCCCCCACAUUGGAACUGAGACACGGUCCAAACUCCUACGGGAGGCAGCAGUGAGGAAUAUUGGUCAAUGGGCGGAAGCCUGAACCAGCCAAGUAGCGUGCAGGAUGACGGCCCUAUGGGUUGUAAACUGCUUUUAUACAGGAAUAAAGUUAGCCACGUGUGGUUAUUUGUAGGUACUGUAUGAAUAAGGACCGGCUAAUUCCGUGCCAGCCGCCGCGGUAA
rnacentral:rRNA from 1 species